ACACACACACACACACAGGGUUGAUGUAGGUAAUGUCACUUUGGCAUCAGCCUUCUCUCCAACUCACUAAAUCGCCGCUACUGGGCCUUUUUUUGAAAGGAAGAGAAACACUUCCCACGUAGGAUGGAGCUCAGGUCAACACCUCCACCUCGCACCGCUCCCCUCUCCUCCACCCUGUCCCCGCUGCAGCCCAGCCAAACCACGCCAGCACACAUCAUGAAUUCCAACGUCAGUAUUUCAUCAUGACCUCGUUGUGGUUUUCACAGAGACGAGCAACAGUAACUGAGAGGGGAACCUUCCGGUCUGUCCACCAAAUCCUGAGCAAAGAAACGGCGAAACUCAGCAGGACUCAUGAACAGAAGAUUUAGUUUACGUGACGUAGUCUUUCACUCCGGACCAGCCUUAUUUUGGCCACCUGUUCAUGCUCCGGUAGAUCCCGUUGAAGACGUUUCCUCCUGCCGCUGAUGCUGGUACAUGUAAGACGAGAGCCCCCGCCAAACUGUGAGAGGGGGCUUUCUGCCGGUGCCAAUGGGUCAGAACAGAACAAAUGGAACUUCUUUAAACAUGUGUCUGCUCAUAUAUAAAACAACCACCAGGCAUGGUUUUAGACUAUUUGUGAAAUAAAGAACAAAGUG
ensembl:lncRNA